CGGAGCGGAACAAAGACUAAGAACGCCGCGUCCUGCGGCAACGUCUUCAUGACCCCCAUCCCUGGGGG
rnacentral:sRNA from 1 species